rnacentral:rRNA from 1 species
GAUGAACGCUGGCGGCGUGCCUAACACAUGCAAGUCGAACGGAAAGGCCCUGCUUUUGCUGGGUGCUUGAGUGGCGAACGGGUGAGUAAAACGUGAGUAAAAUGCCCUUGAAAUUGGGAUAAAACCUGGAAAAUGCGGCUCUUAUCGGAUAGGAGCUCCUGAUGCAUGGUGGGGGUUGGAAAGUUUCGGCGGUUGGGGAUGGACUCGCGGCUUCUCAGCUUGUUGGUGGGGUAGUGGAGUUCAAAGGCUUUGACGGGUAGCCGGCCUUGGAGGCGGAACGGCGACAAUGGGACUGAGAUACGGCCCAGAAGCGUAUGGGAGGCAGUGGGCGGGAGUAUUACGCAAUGGGGGGAAGCCAGAUGCAGCAGCGCCGCGAGCGGAAUGACGGCCUUCGGGUGAUAAACCUCUUUCGCCGGAGAUGAAGCGAGAGUGACGGUAAUGGGUAAGAAAGCAACGGCUAACUACGUG